rnacentral:misc_RNA from 1 species
GGAAGUAAAAGUCCUAACAAGGUCUCCGUAGGUGAACCUGCGGAGGGAUCAUUACAGAGUUCAUGCCCUGCCGGGUAGAUCUCCCACCCUAUGUUAUUAUUACUUUGUUGCUUUGGCGGGCCGUUAGGCUCCGGCCCGACUACCGGCCCCGGCUGGUAAGCGCCCGCCAGAGGACCCAAAACCCUGAAUAUUAGUGUCGUCUGAGUACUAUAUAAUAGUUAAAACUUUCAACAACGGAUCUCUUGGUUCUG